rnacentral:rRNA from 1 species
UGCGUAGGCGGUUUCUUAAGUUUGGUGUGAAAUCUCCCGGCUCAACCGGGAGGGUGCGCCGGAUACUGAGAGACUCGAGUGCGGGAGAGGAAAGUGGAAUUCCUGGUGUAGCGGUGAAAUGCGUAGAUAUCAGGAGGAACACCUGUGGUGUAGACGGCUUUCUGGACCGUAACUGACGCUGAUGCACGAAAGCGUGGGUAGCAAACAGGAUUAGAUACCCUGGUAGUCCACGCCCUAAACGAUGCAUAUUUGGUGUGGGCCAUUCAGUUGGUCUGUGCCGGAGCUAACGCGUUAAAUAUGCCGCCUGGGGAGUACAGUCGCAAGGCUGAA